rnacentral:rRNA from 1 species
GAAAAGGAUUUAUUCGCUUCAGGAUGGACUCGCGUCCAAUUAGCUAGUUGGUGAGGUAACGGCCCACCAAGGCGACGAUUGGUAGCCGGACUGAGAGGUUGAACGGCCACAUUGGGACUGAGACACGGCCCAGACUCCUACGGGAGGCAGCAGUGGGGGAUAUUGCACAAUGGGGGAAACCCUGAUGCAGCGACGCCGCGUGGAGGAAGAAGGUUUUCGGAUUGUAAACUCCUGUCGUUAGGGACGAUAAUGACGGUACCUAACAAGAAAGCACCGGCUAACUACGUGCCAGCAGCCGCGGUAAAACGUAGGGUGCAAGCGUUGUCCGGAAUUACUGGGUGUAAAGGGAGCGCAGGCGGACCGGCAAGUUGGAAGUGAAAACUAUGGGCUCAACCCAUAAAUUGCUUUCAAAACUGCUGGCCUUGAGUAGUGCAGAGGUAGGUGGAAUUCCCGGUGUAGCGGUGGAAUGCGUAGAUAUCGGGAGGAACACCAGUGGCGAAGGCGACCUACUGGGCACCAACUGACGCUGAGGCUCGAAAGCAUGGGUAGCAAACAGGAUUAGAUACCCUGGUAGUCCAUGCCGUAAACGAUGAUUACUAGGUGUUGGAGGAUUGACCCCUUCAGUGCC